GGGCUGGAGGUGAGGCCGGAAGCGUUAGUCAAGGGUACCGGUGGCCUCAACUGGGCUGGGCAGAGGCGUGUGCCUGUGUGGGCGGGGUCCAGCCAACCUUUCCCAGUAGGGACGCGGUUACAGAGAUGACUGUGAUGGUUAGCAGGAGCCUCGAAGGGAAAGGACUGGAAGAACCCCCACGCUGUCCCGCCCGAUCUCGGCGUCCUGACCUCUCCCCAGGGGCCGCUCAUGAUUUGGAAGUUGUCAUUGAUGAGGCGAAUAAUGGUAAGCAGACGCUCAUCGUCGUAGUCAAAGCGGCUGCCGAAGAUCACAGAGCAGAUAAUGUUGGACACGGAGCGGCUGAGCACAAACGUGGGGUCGAAGGGCUUGCCUGAGAGUGAGGGGCGGAGUGGGUCAGGGGUGCAUCGUGCAACACCCCAGACCCUGCGAGGCGCUGGAGCCUACAACAUCCAACCAUCCAUGCCAGGGUGACUCGCAGCACAGAAGAAAUGUCCUUGGCCACCUGACCUGCAGUGAGCGUAGCACCCCGCGAGUCCUUGGCAACACACUAGGCAGGACAGAGCCCACAACAUCCUUCCGCACAAUGACAACCCCACCCAACAACGGAACAGGCUAUUCUUCAUGAUACAACACACAGCACACACCACACAAAACAACAUAUAUACGAUAUGCAGCCCAGUAUGAUACCGCAUCGGUUCCUGACAACACUAGGACCUCACCCAACAAUGGCACGCAGCACAACACCUGAUACCCAAUGAUCCGAUGACUGAACAGAUGGCAGAAAAUAGCACAUUAGCCACUGCCACAACAGCAUGGCCCAGGAAACUGAGUCUGGCGUUAGAUGGACAUAAUUUGGGUUUCCACUGAUCUCAGGGUCGGGAGAUCGAGCCCCAUGUGGGUCCCCGCACUCAGCAGGGAGUAGGCUUGAAGAGUUUCUCCUUCUGCCCCUUCCUGCCCACUCUCUCUCUCUCUCUGAUAAAUAAAUCCUUUUAAAAAAUACCCCACAGAGGGACGCCUGGGUGGCUCAGUUGGUUAAGCCGCUGCCUUCCGCUCGGGUCAUGAUCCCGGGGUCCUGGGAUCGAGUCCCGCAUCGGGCUCUUUGCUCAGCGGGAGGCCUGCUUCUCUCUCUGGCUCUGCCUGCUUGUGUUCUCCCCCUCUCUCUCUGACAAAUAAAUUUAAAAUAAAAUAAAGCAAAAUAAAAAUACCACGCAGAGACAGCGCAAGAGAGCGGCCACCAUGCACCCUAUCCAGUAGUCCGGACCUCCAGGAACGCCCACGGGAAGCCGAUCCACCUCCAGGGGGCGCCACUCUCACUUCGGGCUAAGUGGGGAGCCUCUGAGGGUUUUGAGUUCGUGUUUAUACUCAGGCAGUCCUGACCACUAAGUAGGAUGGAUGUGAGUUAGGGGUAUCAGUUAACGUUCCGGGACCCCAACCUUCAGUUUUCCUUAGCUCUGCCAGCAGGAAGCUGCCUUCCUCCAGGAUCCGCUCCUCAAUGCUCCUCUUCCCCAUCCCGAAGUUCCGCAGAAUCUGGACAGAGAACCUCCUCAGGACCUUCCACCGGUCCCCGUUGGAGAAGGCGAUGCCUGGAUAGAGGGAAGGCGACAGCUCAAAUGACGACUUGUCCCCAAGACUGCUGCCAUUCGAGGCCCCUUUCCUGGUGUCUGCUGGAAGAGAGACUGAGAAUUUGGAAUUUAUCCCCUUCCUGGGAAGUUCUAUCCAACCCUCCAGGCUGGGUCAGAUGCCACCUCUGAGCUUCCACAGGGCCCGGGCUUUGUCACCAUAGUCCUGAUCACUCUGCCUGUUUCCCUCUCACAGAUCUGAUCACUCUGGAUUAUCACAGCUCGAUGGCUAGGCUGUGAAGGUGGGAGUGGGAGUGGAGGGAAGGAGGGAGGGGCUGUCUUGGUCAUCAUUGUGUUCCUAGCAUUGCCCAGGGCAGAGCUUACCCCAUGGGAGGUGCUGAUGAUUCCUUAUUAAUUAAUGAAAACUCAAAUAAGGAAGAAAAGCAUGAGAAAUAAACACUGAGACAUUGGGACUUCAUACAGGAACAA